AUUUAAGAGAGCAUGUGGCUCUUUCUUAGAUUUCAUAGGAGUUAUUCAGAUGAAACUGAAUGAAGAAUUUGUCCCUCUUUUAUAUAUACUGUAAGCACAUUUAAGAAUUACAAGGCCCUUUAAUCUGAUUGCAUCUGGAAUUUGGUAGUUCAGAUAAAAUGGCACGCAUUUCGAAAAGCGUUUCAGUUUUGGUUUUGCCCAACUGAAAAGGCUUUGCAAAACCAAAGCUGAUAUCAAAACCCAGCCUUCUCAGCCCAUCUCUAACUGUUCUUGAGUGUAGAAUGUUUCUAGCCACCUGGAACAGUUGGAAUUCCAGAAGCACACAGAGGUUGCAAAGCUCAUUAACAAAGAGUGGAUAUACCUAUCUUCCCUGACAUUAAAAAGGGCAGACGCCAUCCCUACCAUACGAUCUUGAUGCUUUCCCCCACUACCGGCUUCACCUCUACCUUGUCUUGAUUAAAUUGCAGGCUUUUGGCUUCCAUCCCAGAUCACGACAUAUGGGUCUGAUGUAAAGAAGAUGCAUUGCUGCAUGUCAUCUGCAUACUGAUGGCACCACAGAUCAAGCCAUAGCAUGAUGGGAUCACAAAGACAUUGAAAAGGAGGGGUGACAAAAUGUAACCUCCCACUUCUGCCUAACGUACCAGAUAUAUGUGGGAAAAUGCACUCCCAGUGCUGCCCUAGUUGGUCUUCCCAGACUCCUUGUUAUGGGCUUGCCUGGGCUGACAAGGAUCCAGGGUAUAGGUGAGUGAGAAUGGGGGUUGUUGCAUUUUAUUCCUUUUGAUUUUUAGCCAACAACACAUUGUCCCUCGAACAUAAAUAUCGCCAUUCUUUACUGUAUCUGGCCCAUGCUACAGAUACAUCAGUUCCUGCUGAAGUCAGUAACCAGACCUCCCAUCUGAGCAAUAUUUCCUACCCAGAUUAUCCGAGAAGGGCUGCUACAGAAGUGCACUCACUCCUCCAAAAUCAAGAACCUGGACUCUGCAAUACGUCUAAUCUGUACUGGCCUGGAGAAGUCUGGAAUCGAGAUUGAAACCACGUUCCUUGUGUGGUAGCAUGACGUGUUACUAGUUAUUACUGGUCCACUGAAACAAUCUGAAGUGAAUCUUUAGUGAAGAAUUGCUGUAGUAUAACAGAAUAACUUUUUCUUAUUGUGAUGUCCACUAGUGCAGCGGAAGUUAAACUAACACUUUUACUUCUAUAGUGCCUUCCAUCCAAAAGUGUUAAUGUACUUUGCAAACACCAGUUUAGCUUCACAGAACACCUGUGUAGAGGGCAAGUAUUAUUAUCUCUUUUUUACAGAUGGGAAAGUGAGGUUAGAUAACUUGCGCAAGGUCAGAGUCUGUGAUAAUCAGGAACAGAACACAGAUUUCUUUAAUGUCAGUCCUGUACAUGAAUCACAAGCUCACUCUCCUUCUAAGGUUUGAUUUGAUUUUAAUGUUUAGCCUAUAAACCCCAAUAAUUAGAAGGUGCCAGUUUAAUCUGUUGGGAAAAUGCAGGUGGGAAGAUAAAGCCAAAGGGAGGGAAGCGGGGGAGACCAUCAGGAUCAGAAAUAUCUUACUCUUCCACGUUGUGUUUAUGGAAUUCCAUUGGAUGAAUGGCAAGAAUUACUUGUAUAUGGACAAAUCAGUCUUUUUUAUAAUAUAAUGUUCGGCAGUCUGAAACAGAAGGAACUCUCCAAAACUCAAAUAAUGGAAUAAUAAAAAU